rnacentral:rRNA from 1 species
GGAAUCUGCCUAUUUGUGGGGGAUAACGUAGGGAAACUUACGGUAAUACCGCAUACGACCUACGGGUGAAAGCGGAGGACCUUCGGGCUUCGCGCAGAUAGAUGAGCCGACGUCGGAUUAGCUAGUUGGCGGGGUAAAGGCCCACCAAGGCGACGAUCCGUAGCUGGUCUGAGAGGAUGAUCAGCCACACUGGAACUGAGACACGGUCCAGACUCCUACGGGAGGCAGCAGUGGGGAAUAUUGGACAAUGGGCGCAAGCCUGAUCCAGCCAUGCCGCGUGUGUGAAGAAGGCCUUCGGGUUGUAAAGCACUUUUGUCCGGAAAGAAAAGCUUCGGGUUAAUACCCCGAGGUCAUGACGGUACCGGAAGAAUAAGCACCGG